GGGGCGGAGAAAGUGUGUGUGCAGGAGAGGAGUCGAGUAGAGAGAGCUGCUUUUUCAUGAAACAGGAGUAAAGUAGUGAACUUACAGGAACAUAUACCACUACCAACGUUUGGAUCGAUAUCUGCAUCGAUCUGCACACCCUUGUCUCCUGGAUUGUAGCUGAGAUCAGCGUGAACCACGUGGGUCUCUGCUCCCUGAUCUGUUUCUUAAGACUUCCAGCUUCAUCACGGAAUUUCUCUCGGUUUGUGGGCUCAUCUAAAGCUGAGUAACAGGAGGAGAAGAGUCUGGUGGUGCAACAGAGGAACAGUUUCAUCCAUUUGGACUCAGCUCAGCCACUACAGAGGAAACAAUCAAUGUCUUCAACACAAAAGGACCAACAUGGAGCGAGAAGUCAGCGCUCUCAGGAGGCCGACAAACCUCACAGAAGAAAGGGAAAGAAAACCUACAGCUGUGAUGAGUGUGGGAAGGAUUUCACCCAGAGUGGACAUUUAAAAACACACCAACUCAUCCACAGUGGAGUUAAACCGUACAGCUGUGAUGAGUGUGGGAAGUCUUUUACCCGGACUGGAAGUUUAAAAACACACCAACUCAUCCACAGUGGAGUUAAACCUUACAGCUGUGAGUUGUGUGGAAAGUCUUUUGCCCAGGCUGGAAGCUUAAAAACACACCAACUCAUCCACAGUGGAGUUAAACCUUACAGCUGUGACUUGUGUGGAAAGUCUUUUGCCCGGGCUGGAAACUUAAAAACGCACCAACUCAUCCACAGUGGAGUUAAACCUUACAGCUGUGAAUUGUGUGGUAAGGCUUUUGUUCUAAAAGGCGACUUACAGAGGCAUCUAGUUACUCACUCUGGAAUUAAGGCGUACAGCUGCGACUUUUGUGGAAAAAGUUUCAGCGAGAAACAGUACCGAAAUAUUCACCUACGGAUUCACACUAGAAAUGAAGUUUCCUGCUGUGAUCAGUGUGGGAAACCAUUUACAACAGAUGGACAGUUACAACAACACAUGUUUAGCCACACUGAGGAGAGACCUUAUAAAUGUGACCUGUGUGAGAAGACUUUUAAAGCUCCAAAACAGCUGAAAAAACACCAACAGAUCCACACCAGAAAGUAACUCUACAAGUGCAGUUACUGUGAGGAUGUAUUGAUGUUUUAUCUUGUAAUUUUAACCUGAUUGUUUGGAAAAAGUCUGAUCAGUAAACUUAUGGAGUUAUACUGAAUGAACUGUUUGGAAAAAUGAAGACUAAUUUUCACCCAGUAAGCUGAGUGUUAUAAUGUAAACAGUAAAAUUUAAUUGGACGUUGGCAGAGAUGCUCUUUAUUUCAGGUGACGUUCAGGAUAAAAACGUUGAAGGAAUUCCCUGACUCAGCUGCCAGAAUAUUACUGUUUUUUUGAGAUGUUUUUUUUCCCAUUUAUAGAUGAUUUCACUGUUUAAUGACAUUAACGUGUUCCUACGUUAAUGUUUAAAAUCACUUAAAAAAGGUGAGAUCCCAUGUCAAAUUAGCGCAACUAAUUGUAUUUUCAUUACUGGAAAUAACCGUAUUUUUAUGCGGGAGUUAUUUUCUGUAAUUAUACGGUCGUAUUUUGGCGCCCCAGCUGCCGGAAUAUCACCGUUUUUUCAAGACGCUUUUUCUAACAGUGUUAUUGAUUCCCUAUAAUUCACAGUAUUUGCUAUGUUGUUCAGAUUAUUUUACACAGUGUUUGUCAUGUCAUUUGAUUUAGUCAGUGACUCUAAUUAUUCUGUAACAGCUGAUCUCUACCCGAGCAACAGUUUGUGCAGCUCAAUCUUCGCAGAACAAGUUUGAUCUUAUAAACAGCUGCUGAGCAGAAAGA